GUGAUUGCUUUGGCAACACAUACACUAAAAUUGGAAUGAUACAGAGAAGAUUAGCAUGGCCCCUGUGCAAGGACGACAAGCAAAUUAAAAACAAAUUUUUUU